GAUGAACGCUGGCGGCGUGCCUAAUACAUGCAAGUCGAGCGAACAGACGAGGAGCUUGCUCCUCUGACGUUAGCGGCGGACGGGUGAGUAACGCGUGGAUAACCUACCUAUAAGACUGGGAUAACUUCGGGAAACCGGAGCUAAUACCGGAUAAUAUAUUGAACCGCAUGGUUCAAUAGUGAAAGACGGUUUUGCUGUCACUUAUAGAUGGAUCCGCGCCGCAUUAGCUAGUUGGUAAGGUAACGGCUUACCAACGCAACGAUGCGUAGCCGACCUGAGAGGGUGAUCGGCCACACUGGAACUGAGACACGGUCCAGACUCCUACGGGAGGCAGCAGUAGGGAAUCUUCCGCAAUGGGCGAAAGCCUGACGGAGCAACGCCGCGUGAGUGAUGAAGGUCUUCGGAUCGUAAAACUCUGUUAUUAGGGAAGAACAAAUGUGUAAGUAACUAUGCACGUCUUGACGGUACCUAAUCAGAAAGCCACGGCUAACUACGUG
rnacentral:rRNA from 1 species